UGGGGAAUAUUGCACAAUGGGCGAAAGCCUGAUGCAGCAACGCCGCGUGAGUGAUGAAGGUCUUCGGAUUGUAAAGCUCUGUCUUUUGGGACGAUAAUGACGGUACCAAAGGAGGAAGCCACGGCUAACUACGUGCCAGCAGCCGCGGUAAUACGUAGGUGGCGAGCGUUGUCCGGGUUUACUGGGCGUAAAGGGUGCGUAGGCGGAUGUUUAAGUGAGAUGUGAAAUACCCGGGCUUAACUUGGGUGCUGCAUUUCAAACUGGAUAUCUAGAGUGCAGGAGAGGAGAAUGGAAUUCCUAGUGUAGCGGUGAAAUGCGUAGAGAUUAGGAAGAACACCAGUGGCGAAGGCGAUUCUCUGGACUGUAACUGACGCUGAGGCACGAAAGCGUGGGUAGCAAACAGGAUUAGAUACCCUGGUAGUCCACGCCGUAAACGAUGAGUACUAGGUGUAGGAGGUAUCGACCCCUUCUGUGCCGCAGUAAAACACAUUAAGUACUCCGCCUGGGAAGUACGAUCGCAAGAUU
rnacentral:rRNA from 1 species